rnacentral:rRNA from 1 species
CAUGUAGGCGGUUCGUAAAGUCAGAUGUGAAAGCCCUGGGCUUAACCCAGGAAGUGCAUUUGAAACUCACGAACUUGAGUCCCGGAGAGGAAGGCGGAAUUCUCGGUGUAGAGGUGAAAUUCGUAGAUAUCGAGAGGAACAUCGGUGGCGAAGGCGGCCUUCUGGACGGUGACUGACGCUGAGAUGCGAAAGCGUGGGGAGCAAACA